UGAAGGGAUUUGGAUAAGAAAUGUUGCAGAUGAGUAACUUCACAAAGCUUUCAUGAGGCAUAUACGAGCGAGUUGCAGCUUAAAGUGGAUCACUUGCUGGAAGAGAA